CCUACGGGAGGCAGCAGUGAGGAAUAUUCGUCAAUGGCCGGAAGGCUGAACCAGCCAUGCCGCGUGAAGGUCAGUGCCCUAUGGGCGUUAAACUUCUUUUGUGCGGGAGCAAUAAUGGUCACGUGUGGCCAGACGAGAGUACCGUACGAAUAAGCAUCAGCUAACUCCGUGCCAGCAGCCGCGGUAAUACGGGGGAUGCAGGCGUUAUCCGGAUUUAUUGGGUUUAAAGGGUGCGUAGGCUGUGAGGUAAGUCAGCGGUGAAAUGCCCCCGCUCAACGGGGUGAAGUGCCAUUGAUACUGGCUAGCUGGAAUGCGGAUGCCGUGGGAGGAAUGUGUGGUGUAGCGGUGAAAUGCAUAGAUAUCACACAGAACACCGAUUGCGAAGGCAUCUCACGAAUCCGCGAUUGACGCUGAUGCACGAAAGCGUGGGUAUCAAACAGGAUUAGAUACCCUAGUAGUC
rnacentral:rRNA from 1 species